GGGAAAGUGGCUCAGUGGUAGAGUGCUUGCCUUGCAUGCAAGAGGCCCUGGGUUCAAUUCCUCAGCACCA
rnacentral:tRNA from 1 species